CCACUUUGGGGAAAUACAUCGGGUAUAUUGUUGUUUUAAUUUUGGUAGUAAUUAUUGGUAAAUUUGGCGUAGCAACUGUGUCAUUUUAUCUGGUUUUAGAAUGAGAGAUUGUUUGGUGGUGCAAACGGAUCAACUUAUGAAGCCUAACGGAGCCGAGGUGGAACCUUUAUUGUAAUAGUUGUAGAUAAGAAGGGUGAUGAGGAGGUGCCACUAAUUGGUAAAGCAGACUGCAGGAUUUGCUAGGAGGAAGAUUCUUUGGACAAGUUAGAGAUCCCGUGUGCUUGCAUUGGAAGUCUCAAGUACACACACCAAACAUGUGUUCAACACUGGUGCAAUGAGAAGGGGAUAUAACUUGUGAGAUUUGCCAUCAGAUUAUUAAGGAUUGAAGUUACGAGUAAAGAUGCAAGUUCGGAGAAUGCACAAGCUCAUUAUUAUUUUGCUAAGAACAUUAUAUAAAUUCGACAUCAAAUUCUAGCUCGGAAUGUUUAUUGGGUAAGUAUUUUUGUUUAGCAAAUAUUUAAACUAUUGACAUCAUAUUCUAG